rnacentral:tRNA from 1 species
GCCCUGGUAGUAUAGUACGGUCACAAGGAGGUUUUUUCUCCUCAAUGCCGGAAUAGUAUAAGCGGCUGUCGCCCGCUCGACCCGGGUUCAAAUCCCGGCCAGGGCGCCA